CAGUAGCCACGGGAAUACGUAGGUGGCAAGCGUUGUCCGGAAUUAUUGGGCGUAAAGCGCGCGCAGGCGGAUAGGUCAGUCUGUCUUAAAAGUUCGGGGCUUAACCCCGUGAUGGGAUGGAAACUGCUGAUCUAGAGUAUCGGAGAGGAAAGUGGAAUUCCUAGUGUAGCGGUGAAAUGCGUAGAUAUUAGGAAGAACACCAGUGGCGAAGGCGACUUUCUGGACGAAAACUGACGCUGAGGCGCGAAAGCCAGGGGAGCGAACGGGAUUAGAUACCCCCGUAGUCCCUGUCUCUUAUACA
rnacentral:rRNA from 1 species